AUUGAACGCUGGCGGCAUGCUUUACACAUGCAAGUCGAACGGUAACAGGCCGCAAGGUGCUGACGAGUGGCGAACGGGUGAGUAAUGCAUCGGAACGUGCCCAGUCGUGGGGGAUAACUACUCGAAAGAGUAGCUAAUACCGCAUACGAUCUAUGGAUGAAAGCGGGGGACCGUAAGGCCUCGCGCGAUUGGAGCGGCCGAUGUCAGAUUAGGUAGUUGGUGGGGUAAAGGUUCACCAAGCCAACGAUCUGUAGCUGGUCUGAGAGGACGACCAGCCACACUGGGACUGAGACACGGCCCAGACUCCUCCGGGAGGCAGCAGUGGGGAAUUUUGGACAAUGGGCGCAAGCCUGAUCCAGCAAUGCCGCGUGCAGGAAGAAGGCCUUCGGGUUGUAAACUGCUUUUGUACGGAACGAAACGGCUCUGGUUAAUACCCGGGGCUAAUGACGGUACCGUAAGAAUAAGCACCGGCUAACUACGUG
rnacentral:rRNA from 1 species